rnacentral:misc_RNA from 1 species
UAAAAUAUUGAGGCGUUAUGAACAAACCAUUAAUAUUAUCGAAGAUUUUUCGAUAAAUAGUAAUCUCGUUGUAUGCCUAGUCGAAUUUCACAAAUGUGUCAAAUUGUUUUAUCUUUGAGAGAACAUUCUUUAUUGUUUUAUUGGAUCAUAAUCAGUUACUACUCUAUUGAUUGUAUAAAAAAAUAGAAUAUGCAGCAAAUAACAGUGAGACGUAUUUAUAAACAGAAUUUUUGAAGAGAAAUAUCGAAUAACCUACAUCUCAUGACAUAACCAGUGUUGAUCAACGCAUCAUUACGUUUUGUACAUUAUUCUCAUUUCUACUUGAGAAAAAGAACUUAUUAACAAGUGCAUCGCGUAUCAUAGUAUUCGCGAUGAUGUGGCAAGAAAUAACUUUGACAAAGCCGGCACGUAAAAAACCGAAUAUUGACACAUUGAUAGCCGAAUGAUUUUUAAAAAUUUCAUAGAAUAAUUUUUAGCGAAUCCAGUUAUUUUAUUCAAGAAUCUAUCUUUUAUUAUAAAUAUAUCGAUGAUAAAGAAUCAUCAUUCUUGAGGUAUUAUAGUUAUACAUGAAAUGGGUAGUGCUUGGUGGCAGUGUGCUGCAUGUUUGAGAACACAAGAAGAAGAUAUCUGUGAAUUGCACUUAAAUAAUUGUAAUCUUUAUGAUGUACCACCUGAUGUGUUCAUUUAUGAGAGAACAUUGGAAAAACUCUAUCUUGAUGCCAAUAGGAUAAAGGAUCUUCCAAGACCAUUAUUUCAGUGCCAUGAAUUACGAGUACUUUCCCUCAGUGAUAAUGAAGUCACAACGUUACCACCCGCCAUAGCAUCAUUAAUUAACUUGGAAUAUUUAGACCUCAGUAAAAAUAGUAUUAAAGAACUACCAGACAGUAUAAAAGAAUGUAAAAAUCUUCGUUCUAUAGAUAUCAGUGUUAAUCCAUUUGAACGUUUCCCAGAUGCUAUUACACAUAUUGUUGGAUUAAGAGAAUUGUAUAUAAAUGAUGCAUACAUAGAAUAUCUACCAGCAAAUUUUGGAAGACUUUCAGCUUUGAAAACAUUAGAACUUAGGGAAAAUAAUUUGAUGACAUUACCAAAGAGUAUGAGUCGUUUAAUAAAUUUGCAAAGACUUGAUAUUGGUAAUAAUGAUUUUACGGAAUUGCCUGAAGUUGUUGGGGAUCUUAUCAAUCUCACUGAAUUGUGGAUAGAUGGUAAUGAUAUCAGACGUAUACCACUCAACAUUAAUCAGCUUUACCGUUUAAAUCAUUUUGAUUGUACCAUGAAUGCAAUUCAUAUUAUUCCAUCAGAAGUAGAAGGAUGGAGAGAUAUUUCCAUUAUGCAUCUGUCAUCAAAUGAAAUCUAUCAAUUACCAGAUUCUCUUUGUUAUUUACGUACAAUUGUGACUCUUAAAGUUGAUGACAAUCAAUUGAAUGCACUGCCAAAUGACAUUGGACAAAUGUCAAACUUAGAGGAGCUUAUAGUUACUAAGAACUUCCUCGAAUAUUUGCCAUCAUCAAUAGGACUUUUGCGAAAAUUACAUUGUUUAAAUGUAGACAAUAAUUAUUUGAGAUGCCUUCCACCAGAAAUUGGAAGUUGUACGGCGUUAUCAUUGUUGUCAUUGAGAUCAAACAAUUUAACUCGAGUUCCACCUGAAUUGGGACAUUUAUCUUCUUUAAAAGUACUCAAUCUUGUAAACAAUUGCAUUAAAUUUUUGCCCGUUUCUAUGUUAAACUUGAGCAAUUUAAAAGCAUUAUGGCUGAGCGACAAUCAAAGUCAACCAUUAGUGCCAUUGCAACAAGAAUUUAAUUGUGAAGAAGACAUGAUGGUGUUAAGUUGCUUUAUGCUACCACAAAAACCACGGCAAGAACUUGAGCAAAAAACCCCAGCCGUAGGAUUAAUUUCGAGUUCAAUUGUUGGUACUGGAAAAAGAAUAUGUUUUGCUGCUGAAGUAGAAUCUGAGAUCCCUAGACAACUUCACCGAGCACCAACUCCUUAUCCUAAAGAGCUGCGCAAUCUUGCUAGGCAUGCCCGCAAUUUACAUCAUCAAUCAGCACAUGAUGAAAGAAUGCAUUUAGAACAGGAGACUAUGAUCAAAGAAGCUAUUAUUGCUACAACUACUUUGGACCUUACUUCAAAAUCUGGGACCUGUUUUUCACAAAGUUUAUUUAAUAAGGGUUCACAUUCAUCAUUAUCACCAACCGAACAUCAUAUAUCAAAAGAGUGCAAAGCUAAUACUCCUACGGAUAUUGGAACAGAACAAUCUGUUUCAGAAGAAUCUUCCGAUGAAGCGAACAAGACGGUUCUUGCAAAAGAAAAAAGUCCAGAUAUCAGAGAAGCAAAAUAUAUUCGUAAUCCUACAUCUGAAUACAUUUCCAAACCUCCAACAGUAGCAGAUUAUGUAAAUUCUACUUGGAAACCGGAUGAAUAUUCGAAAGCAAAUACAGCAAAAAUUAUUGAAUCAGAAAAGUUUAUAGAACCUUAUAAAAGUAUGCCUAUUAUUAUAAGCAACAAAAAUACUGAUCAUGUUCAAAUAUCAAAAAUAAAUGAAGUACCACCUGUCCCACCACCAUAUCAUAUUGCUGCUGCAUUUUCAAAAAAAGCAGCACUUUUUCAACAAUUAAAUCAAUCAGCCCAAUUGGAUUUGUCUCCUCCACAAAUUGAUAUUAACACAUCAAAUUUAAAAAUAUCACAGGAAACGCAAAUACAAAGUUAUGACGAAGAACAAUAUAAUGAUAAAUUUUCAAAUAAUACAGAUAUAACUAAUAAAACAAAUAAUGAUAAAAAAAUAAAUUCUUUUAAUAAUACUGAUCAAAUACAUAUAUUAACAGAAUCAAUCGAUCCAGAACAAUCCUUAGAAGGAGAUAGAUCAUUAAAGCCAAGUAGAAUUCCUAUUUUAAAGAUAAAACAUUUAGAAAAUACAAAUUCUAUUUCAAACAGCGAUUUAUCAAAUAAAAACUGCACAAAUUCUUCUGUUGAAGAUUAUGAAGCUUUAAAAAUAUUGAACGCAUCAUGUAUACCUACAUCUCCGAUAACAGGAAAAAAAUAUCGAAGUCCGCUUUCUAUGCAACACAAAGUUUCGGAUCGAUCAAAAAAAAUAAUAAAUGGAACUUCAAAUAAUAAUGCUUCCUGUGAUAAUUUAUCUAUGAAUGCAACAAAUUCAACUUUAGUUACAAAUCCAAAUAUGGAAGGAACUUCAAAAACUUUAUCUAUUGAAACAUCAUUAAAUAUGAACAAUUCUGUCAAUAUAAAAAAUGAAGCUAAUUCUGGUCGAAGUACUCCAAUUUUAUCAAAUAAUAAGUUUCCAAAUGAAGUGACUACUUCUAACGUUGAUAAAUAUAAAAUUGUUGGACGGAAUGAAUCAUUAAAUCCAGAAAGAAAACCAAGAUUUAAAUGGAUGUUCGGACCGCAUAAAAACGCUAAUGUUUUGCCUGUUCAAGUGAAAAAAAAUCCUGGUCUUGGUUUUAGUAUAGCAGGUGGAGUAGCAGGAGCCGAAACCGGAAUUAUAGUGACUAAAGUAAAUCCAGAUGGUCCUGCACAAGGUACACUUCGACCAGGAGAUAAAAUUUUAGAAGUGGAUGGCAUUGACUUUACUAAAUCUGAUCAUAACAAUGCUGUGGCUGUUCUUCGAGCAACAGGAGCAGUUGUAUCCAUGAUGAUUAGCCGUCAUCAAUGACAUCUAGUUAAAGAAAAAUAAUCUUUUUUCAUAUACUAGUAAUCAGUUUAUCACAUCAAACUGAAUACAUUUCAUUAAAUCAUACUUUCCGAUAUCAUCGAAUUGAAUUAUACGACUGAAACAGCGUUACCAAAGGUGGGAGUGGUGGCAUUUAUUGAGCAAAUAUUUCUAGCUUCCAAUGGUUACGCCUUAUGAACCGAGCUUUUUUUAAAAAAAAAUAAAUUCAAGAAAAAUUCCGUUCAUAGACUCUUAGAUACCGUAGAUUAGAAAUACGCUCCCUUGCACAAUUUAUGAUAAAAA